rnacentral:rRNA from 1 species
UAGGGAAUAUUAGUUAAUGUGCGAAAGCGCGAACUAGCAACGCCGCGUGUGCGAUGAAGGCCUUCGGGUCGUAAAGCACUUUUCUAAGGGAUGAGGAAGGACAGUACCUUAGGAAUAAGCAUCGGCUAACUACGUGCCAGCAGCCGCGGUAAAACGUAGGAUGCGAGCGUUAUCCGGAUUUACUGGGCGUAAAGCGCGUGUAGGCGGUUCGGUAAGUUGGAUGUGAAAGCUCCCGGCUUAACUGGGAGAGGUCGUUCAAUACUGCCGAGCUAGAGGAUGGUAGAGGGAGGUGGAAUUCCGAGUGUAGUGGUGAAAUGCGUAGAUAUUCGGAGGAACACCAGUGGCGAAAGCGGCCUCCUGGACCAUUUCUGACGCUCAGACGCGAAAGCUAGGGUAGCAAACGG